rnacentral:lncRNA from 1 species
AGUUGUUCUCUCCUUUACUUGACAGGUAAAAUUCUGCCAUAUGGUGUACCUGAUGAUCUUCCUCCCCCACAGUGGUCUUUGAUUAAGAACAGAAUCUUAAGUUACAAAGGACAACUUGGGUCUACCAAAGUCUCAAGUUGAAAGACAGUCAUUCCUCACAGACAAAAGACUCAAAAAUAAAAGUCUAAUGCAUCUAAUGCAAGCUGAGGGAAGACCACAGAGCCACGGGUGCAGCAUAGGCCCACAGCCAGCCUGACACCAACGGCACCAGGGCUGGAAAUGCCAACCAAAACAACAAAGAGGGAGGCUGGGUGUGAUUCGCUUACUAACUCUGCACCUUGGGAAACCAUGCUUUCUGGUCCUGGAUUCAGUGUCGGAUUUCCUGCCAGCAGCAGCUAAGGUUCCUUAACUCUUUGUAAGGAUCUUGCCCGACUCCACGUAAACGUCACAUGAAACCUUAUGCACACAGACUC